UUCCUACGGGACGCAGCAGUGGGGAAUAUUGGGCAAUGGGCGCAAGCCUGACCCAGCAAUGCCGCGUGAAGGAAGAAGGCUUUCGGGUUGUAAACUUCUUUGACAGGGGAAGAGCAGAAGACGGUACCCUGAAAACAAGCCACGGCUAACUACGUGCCAGCAGCCGCGGUAAUACGUAGGUGGCAAGCGUUGUCCGGAUUUACUGGGUGUAAAGGGCGUGUAGCCGGGGAAGCAAGUCAGAUGUGAAAACCACGGGCUCAACCUGUGGCCUGCAUUUGAAACUGUUUUUCUUGAGUACUGGAGAG
rnacentral:rRNA from 1 species